GUAGGAAAAUUGAGUCAAUUUAUCGCAUCAUAAUCUCUUAUCAAUGUAGGAAUAAUGAUUGACUUUAUUACAUCAUAUUUUCUUAUCAAUGUAGACACAUUGUCUUAAUUGCAUCACUGUAGGUCCAUUGACUGGCUUUAUAGUCAUAUUUUCUUAUCAAUGUUGGAAUGUAUCAUAUUCAUUUAUCAACGAGUCAAGUGAUCGUCUUGAAUCUAUUCUGUAAUGAUUCUCAAAACUGAUUUUAAAAAAAACAUUAACAUAAUUCUUCAAUUAGUUCCCAAUGUGUUCAGUGAUGUUAGAGCUAGUGUGUCUGUAAGAAAAAAAAUCUGUUACUUUUCUUUGUGAAUGUUGACACUUGCCCUUCUAACUCUCUAUGACAUCCCCGGAAGUUUUUGAUAUUUUAUCUUUUUAAAUGUUAAAUCUCAAAACUGAAAUGUUUUCUAAGACUUGAGUUUCUCACUGGAUUAUAGGAAUUUUACAGUUUUAAUAUUUCCUAAUAAAAUGAAAAUACUAUAAUGUUCUUUAAAAGUUGUUCCAUUAAAUCAAUCCAUCCAAGACAAUUCCACCAGAGUUUAUCAAUGUC